rnacentral:rRNA from 1 species
GGCGAACGCUGGCGGCAGGCCUAACACAUGCAAGUCGAACGAACCUUUCGGGGUUAGUGGCGGACGGGUGAGUAACACGUGGGAACGUGCCUUUAGGUUCGGAAUAACUCAGGGAAACUUGUGCUAAUACCGAAUGUGCCCUUCGGGGGAAAGAUUUAUCGCCUUUAGAGCGGCCCGCGUCUGAUUAGCUAGUUGGUUGAGGUAAUGGCUCACCAAGGCGACGAUCAGUAGCUGGUCUGAGAGGAUGAUCAGCCACAUUGGGACUGAGACACGGCCCAAACUCCUACGGGAGGCAGCAGUGGGGAAUCUUGCGCAAUGGGCGAAAGUCUGACGCAGCCAUGCCGCGUGAAUGAUGAAGGUCUUAGGAUUGUAAAAUUCUUUCACCGGGGACGAUAAUGACGGUACCCGGAGAAGAAGCCCCGGCUAACUUCGUG